UCAAAAGUAUUAAGGUCCCACCUGCCCAGUGAAAAAUUUUUUUAAACGGCCGCGGUAUCCUAACCGUGCAAAGGUAGCGCAAUCACUUGCCCCUUAAUUAAGGGCUAGUAUGAAUGGUUACAUGAGGGUUUAACUGUCUCCUAAGGCCAAUCAUUGAACUUGAUGAUUCAGUACAAACGCUGAAAUAACCCCACAAGACGAGAAGACCCUGUGGAACUUUAAGUCCCCUGCAAGCAGACCUAAAUCACAGGCCCCUCCCCUAGCAGGCACUUUCAGUUGGGGCAACUACGGAGUAAAAAAGAACCUCCACGAACCGCAGCUAAAACCUGCACUCCAAGGCCAACACGCCAACCCCCCCCCGCACUGACCCAGCAAAGCUGAUCAACGAACCAAGCUACCCCAGGGAUAACAGCGCCAUCCCCUUCAAGAGUCCAUAUCGCCAAGGGGGUUUACGACCUCGAUGUUGGAUCAGGACCCCCCGGUGGUGUAGCCGCUACCAAAGGUUCGUUGUCAACGAGA
rnacentral:rRNA from 1 species